rnacentral:lncRNA from 1 species
GAUAAAAGAAAGAUGGAAAGUGUGAGGAUGGACGAACACUGAGUCCAAAAAGUUGAGAGCUGAUAGAGGGAAAAAUGAGGCUGACUGAAUGCAAUGAGACAGAAUGAAUAUCAGGGCAAAAAUGAAAAAGCUUGACAGAUUGAGGUUUAUGGACAAGACUGAGAUAUUCUGGCUUUCUUUCCUAAUGAAGUGGCUCCAAAGUGCCUGAGAACAAGGAAAGGAAACGAGUUGGGAUUUCUCGCGGUCUCCUGUCAUCCACGGGUGCUAUGCCUCUGCUUCUGGCACA